rnacentral:misc_RNA from 1 species
GUCAGCUUGGCGUUCAGCAUCCUGUCAAGAAUAGGCGAUAUCCUGCAAGAAGACGGUCUGAAGAAUCCGACCACGUCCAUCGCAACCCUCAAGUUCGACUUCUCCUCGGACGUCUAUCUUGCUGGCAUCACCGAGACACCUCCUGGCAACAUCAAGCGCUCGCUCAUCGAUCAGAUGAACGAGGCCGAUGGACGCCUUUGCAACUCGAGACCAAGCAAAGAUAGCG